AUUUUUGGCAUAAAUGACCCAAAGACACCAGAUCAUGUCUAAUCUUGGAGGCUAAGCAGGGUAAGUUUUAGUUAGCACUCGAAUGAGGGACCACCAAUAAAUACUAGGGCUAUAAAUA
rnacentral:rRNA from 11 species